rnacentral:rRNA from 1 species
GUGGGGAAUAUUGCGCAAUGGGCGAAAGCUUGACGCAGCAACGCCGCGUGGGUGAGGAAGGCCUUCGGGUUGUAAAGCCCUGUCAGGUGGAACGAAUCUGAUCCCGAGCGAAUACCUCGGGAAAAUGACGGUACCACCAGAGGAAGCCCCGGCAAACUACGUGCCAGCAGCCGCGGUAAUACGUAGGGGGCGAGCGUUGUUCGGAAUUACUGGGCGUAAAGAGCGCGUAGGCGGUCAAAUAAGUCAGGCGUGAAAUCCCUCGGCUUAACCGAGGUUUGGCGCUUGAAACUAUCUGACUUGAGUUUAGGAGAGGAGAGUGGAAUUCCCAGUGUAGCGGUGAAAUGCGUAGAUAUUGGGAGGAACACCUGUGGCGAAGGCGGCUCUCUGGACUAAUACUGACGCUGAGGCGCGAAAGCUAGGGGAGCAAACGGGAUUAGAAACCCCGGUAGUCC